AUGUGGGCGGGGUCAGAGGUGGGGAAGACUCGUCGGCUGGGCAACAGCAAGCGCCGAUCGUUCCCAUUUGUUUUGCAGGUUCUACGAUCUGUUGCAUCUCUUUUCUUCUCGUUAAGGAGAGGGGAGGCGGCCAAUGACAGGGAGAAGGAGCAGGCCGUCGAGGAGUGCAAGCAGAAGGGGCAUAUUGUUUUGGUUAUCAGUGGUUGGAGAUAUUGUGGCUUGAUGUCCCUGGAGCAGUCAGACCCUUCCAAGAUAGGUCGAGCGACGGCGAGCACAUCCGACGGCAACACACCCAGACCAGGUUUUUGUGGUCGUGUCAUACACCAAUUACCGUCGAGAUGGGUAAUGGUAUGGGAAUGGGCUCCAAGGAUGUGA
rnacentral:rRNA from 1 species